GACAUGGGUGGCAAACGUUAUCCGGAAUUAUUGGGCGUAAAGGGCGCGUAGGUGGUUGAGUAAGUCAGGUGUGAAAGCUCUGGGCUUAACCCAGGAAUUGCAUCUGAUACUGCUCGGCUUGAGUACGGUAGAGGAGGGUGGAAUUCCCAGUGUAGCGGUGAAAUGCGUAGAUAUUGGGAGGAACACCGGUGGCGAAGGCGGCCCUCUGGACCGAAACUGACACUGAAGCGCGAAAGCUAGGGGAGCAAACGGG
rnacentral:rRNA from 1 species